UUCACUUCCACUUCCCGGUUCACCGCAGCCACGAGAACUCCGGGCGGGGGUGGUGGGGUGCCCAGUAAGCUGGAUGGUGCCGGGCGUUAUCCUUCUGGGAGACGCGCCCCAAAGAAGCCCCCGAAGGCUGCCAGGCUGGUUGUUUUCUCCACCGCUGAUUGAAUUUAGAUCCUGUUUGUGGGAUCAGCCCUGACUGUAAACACACACAGAAGGGUACAGAGUAUCUGUGUCUACACAGAAGGUAGGAGAGCAGCAGUCUGUUCAAUCUCUGAGAUCCUGAUUCAACUCUAGCAACACACUGGGCUUUCCUGAGGCCUCCUGGUGGAGCAAAGACUCAUCUGAAGAAGGAAACAAGGUGUCAAGACUCCUCACUGAGAGUCAGCUCUUCCACCGUCUGCUCUCUGCUUCCCCUGUGGUGAACAUAUUUGCUGGACCAGAAAUCGAGACACAUGGUCUGGCCAUGAAAAAAUGAAAUUGAGACUGUUCCAGAAAAUCUAGGACAUAUGUUCUCCAGAGCUGUGGCAACAUGGGACUAUGUACACAGUAUAUGCCUAAUAAAUGCCUGCACUGAAAAUCACAGCAGCAUUCCAAAGGCAUUCUGAAUUUUCUUCAAAAAUCUUAUCCGCAGCUAGGUUUUCUCUAAAUCCUGAAUUCUUUUUUUUUUUUCUGCUUUAUCUUCCCAAACUCCCCGUACAUAGUUGUAUAUCUUAGUUGCAGGUCCUUCUAGUUGUGGGAUGUGGGUCGCCGCCUCAACGUGGCCUGACGAGCAGUGCCAUGUCCGUGCCCAGGAUCCGAACCCUGGGCCGCUGCAGCGGAG
rnacentral:lncRNA from 1 species